rnacentral:rRNA from 1 species
AAGACCUUGCACUUUUGGAGCGGCCGAUGUCUGAUUAGCUAGUUGGUGGGGUAAUGGCCUACCAAAGCUUCGAUCAGUAGCUGGUCUGAGAGGACGGCCAGCCACACUGGGACUGAGACACGGCCCAGACUCCUACGGGAGGCAGCAGUGGGGAAUUUUGGACAAUGGGCGCAAGCCUGAUCCAGCCAUGCCGCGUGAGUGAAGAAGGCCUUCGGGUUGUAAAGCUCUUUCAGUCGGGAAGAAAAGGUUGCGACUAAUAAUCGCAAUUCAUGACGGUACCGAAAGAAGAAGCACCGGCUAACUACGUGCCAGCAGCCGCGGUAAUACGUAGGGUGCGAGCGUUAGUCGGAAUUACUGGGCGUAAAGGGUGCGCGGGCGGUUUUGUAAGUCAGAUGUGAAAUCCCCGGGCUUAACCUGGGAACU